GAUAUUACAUAAGUAGCCAUUUUAAGACAUUGUAAAUAUAGCCAUUCUUUAUUUAAUACAUAUACCUGUAUACACACACACAGAGAUUUUUUAUUUUAUUUUUUUUUGUAUUUUUGAUAUAAGCGAGGGGUCAGUUUGUAUUGGAAGAUUCGAGAAAAUAAAACAAACACCCUUUCAGAAUUCUCUCCCUUCUCUCUCUUCGAUACUGUUCACCGUCUCUUUUCUUCUCCAAAUCCAUGGCUUCCAUGGACAUUAACAUGGUAUCAGAGCGGGUCAUUCGACUCUUCUCGUCAAGAGUCGGUCUCUUUUCUUCUCCAGAUCCAUGGCUUCCAUGGACACUAACACUAACAAAGUUGUAACUCUAAGACAAUUAGUGUAUAAAUAUACUAUACUCAGUCAACCUUAACAAAAAGAAGAGUUUUGGUUGUCGAUGGAGGAAAAAUAGAAGGGUUUAGUGGGUGGGGAUUAUGUUUGUUUAGUGGGGUGGAUUUGAGAAUUUGACGAAGAAGAGAAGCAAUAGAAGAAGUGGGUUUGGAUUUGGGGCAGAGAUGGCGGAGUUUUAUGGUGGUUGCCAUUGUUGUGAUAGCUGCC
rnacentral:lncRNA from 1 species